ensembl:lncRNA
UUUUUUUUUUUUUUUUUUUUUUUUUUUAAGUAUAUCAAAUUUGUCAGCUAACAGAAACUUCUCCCCCUAAUCCCAUUUGUUGUUAAAGGAGCAUCUCAACUGUUCUGUCCCGGAAGCCCCUUAAUAAGGGGUCAGUGCUGUCUUAUCUGGGGAGAUACUUUGCCUGAGGUUGAACACAAUUAUAAGUCUCAGUGAAAUGAAACUUCCCAGAUGGUUAUCAAAGGAAUAAUUGACAAGUAUUACUUCUAGUGACUCCCUUUGUGCUUUUAUUGAAGAUUUUUAUUAACCACUGGAGCAGUAAGUGGAGUCUGGGCUUCCUUGUUUUUUUAAAGCACCAUCGCUGCUUUAAAUUUCCUGUAAAAUGUCAUAUUUGUUUUGUUCUCACUUGUCACUAUUCAAAUGUUCUAGCACUCAUGGUGGUUGCACAUGCUCCAUCAACAACAGUAGCUGGUGUUGGAUCUGCCUUCUGUUUUGGGAGAACUUUUUGCUCCCUGUGGGAUAAUAAUACAGAUAUUAUGGCAUUUACAAGGAGCAAAGACAAUAUUCAGUGGCCACACUAUGGAAUCACAUGUGUGUUAGUCCAAAGGAGCACAAUUUUCUGCCAGGAAGACAUUGGCUGAUGCUGCCUAUAUCAACUUAAAUGUAAAACACUUUGCUUUUCUUACAGUAAUUACCUACUUUUACAAAGAGGGAGUUGACAUCAUAGUAGGAGCUGACCAGAUCCAGGAAUUUCUUUGAACUUAUCUUGCCUUACUCAAGUUGAAGAGUUUUUAAAAAAGUAGCACAAAUGUGUCUGCAUGGGAAAUGAUCCAUGGAAUAAGAUGCUCUGUCACACAGGCAUUUAUCCUGGGGAGGAGCCAAGGAAAACAUAGUUUGCAGAAUGCCCAGCAGGAAGGUGUUCAGAUGCUUCCAUAAUUUUUGGCAUAUUGUAUUCCUGGCUUAAAGCCCUGGGGUUACAAUCUCUAAUGAUUGCUUAUGAAAUUGUUGUAAGCCAAUCUAGGGCCUUCUGCAUGUUCCCACCUUUCCUCCCCCAGCUGCAGGUCCCACACUGUAGGUUGUUGGUUGCAUCACAGCAGUUUUGACUGCAGGGAAAUUCAUUCCUGCUUGCCCAACCACCAGGAGCUAAUUACUGUUUUCCAGGAUUAAAUUGUUCAGGGACUGUGCACUGACCCAAAUCACUGCCUGCCUGCGAAGGCAUUGGUGGUUGUUGAGGCAUGAGAAGGGAAAGGACAGGCAUGGGAGCCAGGAUGCCCUCCUUCCCUGGCUGGUGAAUCCUAUCCUGUCUGUCCAGCUGCUUUAGUAACAUUGCCUGAGGCUGUUCCUCCAUAACCACUUCAGUGGCAGCUGAAGAAACUCCUCCUCUUCACCACUGCACUCCUCACAAACUUCCCUUCCCCCUGCCUGGGACAACUGCUUGGGUGGUUGUGUAUGAAUUGGGCUGGAGAGAAUAGAGCUGCUUGGGACAAACCUGAAACUUGGAAGAGGGCCCUAUGCAUAGGUGCAGAGUGGUGUGGUUUGUUCCUGGCCGUGUAGGCUGCUCUGGCUGGUGGGACCUAUUUCCAACCUUUAGUAUUUCUAUAAGCACCUGCUUCCCUUUUCCUUUUCUAGCAGCAGCCUCCUGCUCUCCCUGCAGUUGUUAAGGCAAAGACAGCAGGAGUGGGGCAUGUUUGGCAGCAGACCACAACCUGGACUCUACACAGCCCCAGCUGAGUAGGCACUUGGGGGUCAGGGACUGCUGUGUGCCUGGUGGUCUUCCUCAAAUGCCCUCCCUGAAACCACUGUUGUGGUUUCCCCUUCCAUCCUCUAAGCCUGGGCCAGGCGCAGGCCCCUGUUAAAGACCCCCAAGUCUUUUUAAGUCUGAAAACACUAGUUUGUGUUUGCCAGAAGCACAGCUUGGGGACUUGACAGCACAGACAGCACUCGGAGGAGCUCACCCAGAGGAGCCCUUGAAGCUGUCAUUUGCGCUAGAUUUUCUUGCUGAGUGUUGAGGAAGUCAACUGAGUAUUUGGGUCAGGUUGUCUCUACUUAAGCCUGUCUGUGAAACUGGAAGUAUCCCAGGGAGGGUCCCAAACACCCCAUCCCCUCUGAACCCAGCCCUUAGGCAGUUAGGACUUUGCCCCAGUUUGCCAGCCAGGGACCUCCUCACCACCAACAGGUGUUUGUGGCCAGGUGCACAACACUACAUGGGUGUUUUGCAAGGCACAUUCCUCAGGGGGAAUGGAUAUUCUUGUUUUUAACCCAUCUGAGCUGCAUGAAGUCCAGACGGGAGGGCUUAGACAACAGCAGAUAAUUGGAUUGUUUUGGUUUUGGCAGGUUGAACCUUAGCUGUUGCAUUACUUAUAGUGUUGUUCUUUGAAUACUACCCUAGCCGUCAUCAUUCACAACAGGAUUUCAGAGACCUCCUCAUUUUUCCUGCUCUCCAUUGCAAAAGUAAGAAUUUGCUGAUAAUGCUUAAUAUGUUCCUGCUGCAUAGCAGCUGGAUCUGCUUUUGACCAGAGUUGUAAAGUAAAAUUUAAUUCUCUACAACUGCUUCAGUCAGAUAGCAAACACAGAGGGAGGACUAUGUUAGGUGCUGCCCAGGUUAUUAAAAAAGUGUGUGAGUUGUCCUCACUCUUUAAACUAUGGAGGGAAUUAAUCUCCACAGCAGGACCUCUCCCAGAAAUGUUGCAGGAACUUAUAUCAGGCUUGUGCUGCCACUACAAAAACUGAACUGGUUUUCUGAUGCUGUAGUCCCUGUUUGUGGACAUGCAUACAUAUGUGUGUAUACACACUUGUAUGUGCCUGUACUGGAGGGGUGAUGAAAUCAGAAGGUGACUGUGAAAAAUUAAGGCCUGAGCAUGUGGAAAAGAAUCUUUUUUCCUCCCCGUGUUAGCUGAAAGCCUGGCUGAUGAUCAACAGUGACAUCAGUAUUUAUGUAAGGUGUAACAAGGUCAUAGUGAGGGGAUUCUUGGUGAGGAAAAAAAUAGUAUUUUUUAUACACUUUCUUUUCUGCUAAUUAGAUUGAAAAAAACCCCAUUGGUUUAGGUGCACAAAAUGAGGGGGAAAAUUAGAACUAAGAGUCAAGUUUGUUUGGGGAAGCACAGCAGAGUCCUUCAUGACAAGCCAAACCUAGACAGGCAGGAAAGACACACCAGAAGGGACAUAGAAAGAGAAGUCCCAUCUAUAGGAGCAGGGCAGCCUUCAGUAGGUGCUACUGAGGGUAAAAAAGAAAUUAAGGGAAGUUACCCUGGUUCUGUAGCUGGGUCUAUUUGACUGUGCUGCACCCCACAGGCAGGAUGUGGAAUGCUACUGGCCCUGCCAGGAAGCACAGCUCACCAGGCUUGCUGCUGCAGCCAGAGGCCACACACACACAGGCGGGAGACCUGCAGGAGUGAUCUGGAUGUUUGUCACUGCUUAGAGGCAGAGAAAAAUGGCCCUCUGAGAAAGGACAGAAAGAAGGGGACGCCUGGAGCGACACCUGCAAGGGGGGGGGGGUAGGAGUGGUAUCCCUGGCAGCGCAUUGGCAGGAAGUGAGAGCUGUCUAGACUGCUGGGCAGGGGAGGGAUUACCUCUGAGAAGUGUCGAAGUCAGGAAACCUUUUCUGGAGAGCUGUCAUCCUAGUUCUUUGCCUUACUCAGCUGAGAGGCAAAAAGCUUUGGAGGAGUGGUUGACACUGUUCUACUGUUGACGCUGUAGAUAUGUAACAGAGCUGUGUCUCUUAGGCAUUUAAGGAUCAAAAAAAAAAA